GCCAGGUGUGGUGGUGCAUGCCUGUAAUCCAAGCUGCUCAGGAGGCUGAGGCAGGAGAAUCACUUGAGCCCAGGAGGUGGAGGUUGCUGUGAGCCAAGAUCACGCCACACUGCACUCCAGCCUGGGCAACAAAGUGAGACUCUGUCUCAA
rfam:Homo sapiens chromosome 3, GRCh38 reference primary assembly.